AUUGAACGCUGGCGGCAUGCCUUACACAUGCAAGUCGAACGGUAACAGGUCUUCGGAUGCUGACGAGUGGCGAACGGGUGAGUAAUACAUCGGAACGUGCCCGAUCGUGGGGGAUAACGAAGCGAAAGCUUUGCUAAUACCGCAUAAGAUCUACGGAUGAAAGCAGGGGACCGCAAGGUCUUGCGCGAACGGAGCGGCUGAUAGCAGAUUAGGUAGUUGGUGGGACAAAAGCUUACCAAGCCGACGAUCUGUAGCUGGUCUGAGAGGACGACCAGCCACACUGGGACUGAGACACGGCCCAGACUCCUACGGGAGGCAGCAGUGGGGAAUUUUGGACAAUGGGCGCAAGCCUGAUCCAGCCAUGCCGCGUGCAGGAUGAAGGCCUUCGGGUUGUAAACUGCUUUUGUACGGAACGAAAAGACUCUGGUUAAUACCUGGGGUCCAUGACGGUACCGUAAGAAUAAGCACCGGCUAACUACGUGCCAGCAGCCGCAGUAAAAC
rnacentral:rRNA from 1 species